GUGUAAAGGAUGUUCCGCCUAUUAAUUUACUUUUAUUAUGUUGGUGUAUAUCUGGUUUAAUAUUAUUGUUGAAUAAUAUAAGUUUGUGUAAUUUUAUUAGUUAAGCCAAGUCUAUGUGCUGCUUAUAGAAGUAUUCAUGCGUUACUUUAAUAAAGUUUUAGUUGUAAGCACUAUUAUAUUUAGGACUUAAAAGUAAUGUUAAAUUAGUUUGUUAAUGUGAAAUAA
rnacentral:rRNA from 2 species